CCCGCUGAACUUAAGCAUAUCAAUAAGCGGAGGAAAAGAAACUAACAAGGAUUCCCCUAGUAACUGCGAGUGAAGCGGGAAAAGCUCAAAUUUAAAAUCUGGCAGUCUUUUGAUUGUCCGAGUUGUAAUCUAGAGAAGUGCUAUCCGUGCUGGACCAUGUACAAGUCUCCUGGAAUGGAGCGUCACAGAGGGUGAGAAUCCCGUCUCUGACAUGGACUACCAGUGCAUUGUGAUGUGCUCUCAAAGAGUCGAGUUGUUUGGGAAUGCAGCUCUAAAUGGGUGGUAAAUUCCAUCUAAAGCUAAAUAUUGGCGAGAGACCGAUAGCGAACAAGUACCGUGAGGGAAAGAUGAAAAGAACUUUGGAAAGAGAGUUAAACAGUACGUGAAAUUGUUGAAAGGGAAACGCUUGAAGUCAGUCACGUUGGCUGGAGAUCAACCUUGCUUCUGCUUGGUGCAUUUUCCAGUUGAUGGGCCAGCAUCAAUUUUGAUCAGUGGAUAAAGGUCAGGGGAAUGUGGCAUCUCUUGGAUGUGUUAUAGCCCUUGGUUGUAUACAUUGGUUGGGAUUGAGGAACUCAGCAUGCCGCAAGGCCAGGUUUUUUUUAAACCAUGUUCAUGCUUAGGAUGCUGGCAUAAUGGCUUUAAUCGACCCGUCUUGAAACACGG
rnacentral:rRNA from 1 species